rnacentral:rRNA from 1 species
AAAACUUUCAACAACGGAUCUCUUGGUUCUGGCAUCGAUGAAGAACGCAGCAAAAUGCGAUAAGUAAUGUGAAUUGCAGAAUUCAGUGAAUCAUCGAAUCUUUGAACGCACAUUGCGCCCGCCAGCAUUCUGGCGGGCAUGCCUGUUCGAGCGUCAUUUCAACCCUCGACCUCUCCUUCCUUGCGAAGGGCGAGGCCGGUGUUGGGG